GACGUAGGUGGCGAACGUUAUCCGGAAUCAUUGGGCGUAAAGGGUGCGUAGAUGGCAUGAUAAGUUAUUAGUGGGAAAUCGAGGCUCAACCUCGUGGAAACUGAUAAUACUGUUUUGCUUGAGUGCAGGAGAGGUUAACGGAACUCCAUGUGGAGCGGUAAAAUGCGUAGAUAUAUGGAAGAACAUCAAUAACGGCGAAGGCAGUUAACUAUUCUGCUACUGACAUUGAGGCACGAAAGCGUGGGGAGCAAAACGG
rnacentral:rRNA from 1 species